rnacentral:rRNA from 1 species
CACGUAGGCGGGAAUUUAAGUCAGGUGUGAAAGACCGAGGCUCAACCUCGGGUAUGCACUUGAAACUGGGUUUCUUGAGGGCAGGAGAGGAAAGCAGAAUUCCUGGUGUAGCGGUGAAAUGCGUAGAAAUCAGGAGGAAUACCAGUGGCGAAGGCGGCUUUCUGGACUGACCCUGACGCUGAGGUGCGAAAGCGUGGGUAGCAAACA